rnacentral:tRNA from 1 species
AGUGGCAGAUAUAUGCCUGGAUUUUAAGCGUCCAAUAUGAGAUUAUUCUCCUU